rnacentral:rRNA from 1 species
UACGGAGGGAGCUAGCGUUGUUCGGAAUUACUGGGCGUAAAGCGCGCGUAGGCGGCGAAUCAAGUCAGGGGUGAAAUCCCGGGGCUCAACCCCGGAACUGCCCUUGAAACUAGCUCGCUAGAAUCUUGGAGAGGUCAGUGGAAUUCCGAGUGUAGAGGUGAAAUUCGUAGAUAUUCGGAAGAACACCAGUGGCGAAGGCGACUGACUGGACAAGUAUUGACGCUGAGGUGCGAAAGCGUGGGGAGCAAACAGGAUUAGAAACCCGCGUAGUCC